UUUUCGUGCAAUAAAGUAGAAAGUACCAUUCACGCACAUAUUCAAACACUCCAACAAAUCGUUAUUCCUAAAUUUGCCUACCCGGCCUACGUUUGCCUACCAAGUUCAACGUAUCACAAUUCUAUCAUGUUCAACAUUAUCAAUACAUCAAAAUUAAUCAAUAUUCAUUUUCCUCCAUUUUUAAUCCCCACCCUAAUUCAUUCUCAACCACGUGAUUAACCCAUUUCAAUACACAAUCCACCAAUCGAGAAUAACGAAAAU
rnacentral:lncRNA from 1 species